rnacentral:rRNA from 1 species
UUGCUUCUUUGCCGGCGAGCGGCGGACGGGUGAGUAAUUUCUGGGGAUCUGCCCGAUGGAGGGGGAUAACUACUGGAAACGGUAGCUAAUACCGCAUAACGUCGCAAGACCAAAGUGGGGGACCUUCGGGCCUCACACCAUCGGAUGAACCCAGAUGGGAUUAGCUAGUAGGUGGGGUAAUGGCUCACCUAGGCGACGAUCUCUAGCUGGUCUGAGAGGAUGACCAGCCACACUGGAACUGAGACACGGUCCAGACUCCUACGGGAGGCAGCAGUGGGGAAUAUUGCACAAUGGGGGAAACCCUGAUGCAGCCAUGCCGCGUGUGUGAAGAAGGCCUUCGGGUUGUAAAGCACUUUCAGCGGGGAGGAAGGCGGUGGCGUUAAUAGCGCUAUCGAUUGACGUUACCCGCAGAAGAAGCACCGGCUAACUCCGUGCCAGCAGCCGCGGUAAUACGGAGGGUGCGAGCGUUAAUCGGAAUUACUGGGCGUAAAGCGUACGCAGGCGGUCUGUUAAGUCAGAUGUGAAAUCCCCGGGCUCAACCUGGGAACUGCAUUUGAAACUGGCAGGCUAGAGUCUCGUAGAGGGGGGUAGAAUUCCAGGUGUAGCGGUGAAAUGCGUAGAGAUCUGGAGGAAUACCGGUGGCGAAGGCGGCCCCCUGGACGAAGACUGACGCUCAGGUACGAAAGCGUGGGGAGCAAACAGGAUUAGAUACCCUGGUAGUCCACGCUGUAAACGAUGUCGAUUUGAAGGUUGUGGCCUUGAGCCGUGGCUUUCGGAGCUAACGCGUUAAAUCGACCGCCUGGGGAGUACGGCCGCAAGGUUAAAACUCAAAUGAAUUGACGGGGGCCCGCACAAGCGGUGGAGCAUGUGGUUUAAUUCGAUGCAACGCGAAGAACCUUACCUACUCUUGACAUCCAGAGAACGUGGCAGAGAUGCUUUGGUGCCUUCGGGAGCUCUGAGACAGGUGCUGCAUGGCUGUCGUCAGCUCGUGUUGUGAAAUGUUGGGUUAAGUCCCGCAACGAGCGCAACCCUUAUCCUUUGUUGCCAGCGAUUCGGUCGGGAACUCAAAGGAGACUGCCGGUGAUAAACCGGAGGAAGGUGGGGAUGACGUCAAGUCAUCAUGGCCCUUACGAGUAGGGCUACACACGUGCUACAAUGGCGCAUACAAAGAGAAGCGAUCUCGCGAGAGUCAGCGGACCUCAUAAAGUGCGUCGUAGUCCGGAUUGGAGUCUGCAACUCGACUCCAUGAAGUCGGAAUCGCUAGUAAUCGUGGAUCAGAAUGCCACGGUGAAUACGUUCCCGGGCCUUGUACACACCGCCCGUCACACCAUGGGAGUGGGUUGCAAAAGAAGUAGGUAGCUUAA